CCUACGGGAGGCAGCAGUGGGGAAUAUUGGGCAAUGGGCGCAAGCCUGACCCAGCAACGCCGCGUGAAGGAAGAAGGCUUUCGGGUUGUAAACUUCUUUUCUCAGGGACGAAGCAAGUGACGGUACCUGAGGAAUAAGCCACGGCUAACUACGUGCCAGCAGCCGCGGUAAUACGUAGGUGGCAAGCGUUAUCCGGAUUUACUGGGUGUAAAGGGCGUGUAGGCGGGAGCGCAAGUCAGAUGUGAAAACCAUGGGCUCAACCUGUGGCCUGCAUUUGAAACUGUGUUUCUUGAGUGCUGGAGAGGCAGACGGAAUUCCGAGUGUAGCGGUGAAAUGCGUAGAUAUAAGGAGGAACACCAGUGGCGAAGGCGGACUGCUGGACAGCAACUGACGCUGAGGCGCGAAAGCGUGGGGAGCAAACAGGAUUAGAUACCCCAGUAGUC
rnacentral:rRNA from 1 species